AGAAUACCUAACGCUCGAUGAACCAAAAACGCUAGAAGAGCAAAAGAGGUUUAUUAGAGAGAAAGGACUCGUUUCGACUCAGGAUUACACAUCAAUGUUGGUUUGGAACUAUAAGAGAAAUGCGAUUCCGAUGGAUCAGGUUUCAAUUCUAAAGGAUCAACCUUUCUUGUUGGGAUCAUCAAGUAACUACAACCGCGACAAUGAUGAUGAUCAGAAGAAUAAAGAAGAAGAUGAAGAUAGCGAUGAUGGGCUUCACAUUGCACGCAUAUAACUCUUUGUUCAAGACUUUGAAAAAGCUACGACCAUUGUUGCUUCUACAGUGAGUAAGCUGAUUACUCUUAAGUUUCGCAGUUCCCCAUUGCAUCCAUCGCAGCACUCAUAAGCAUGGUGGCGAUUUUGUAAUCACGCGACUUAAUGGUGUCUAAAGAUUGGUUUAAGGAAUCAAUUGCGCCGGUGUAAAGCUCGAGGCAAUCGCGUAGCGGCCUCUCCACAUCAUAUUUAUUCUCCUUGAGAAUCUUGUUAGCCAUUCCUUUCAAGCUUGUCGUUUUUGACACAGCGUUCUUCGUCGAUGCGAAGACCAAUCCUUC